ensembl:lncRNA
AUGAGAGGAAGCACCGGCGGAGUGCAGCGAAAGAUAAUAGAUGUGUACAAAAAUGCUCACUACGUUCACUGUUAUGCGCAUCAGCUGAACCUCAUCAUACAGCAGGCGACAUCACACAUCCCCAGAAUUGGAACUUUUUUUUCUGACCUUGGUGGAUUUUCUGCCUUCUUCUCCAGGUCACAUAAGCGAAUCGCCGUGCUUGACCAAGUGGUUGCGCACAGACUUCCCAGAGCCUCUACAACACGUUGGAACUUUCAAAGUCGCGCUGUAAACACUGUGUACGAACACAAGGAUGACCUUUUAAAAUGUUUUCAGAUCAUCAGAGACUCAGGGAACUUUGAUAACUCAACUGUCAGAGAGGCAGGGGGUUUUGUGAGGAUGCUUGAAGACGAGGCUUUCUGUUUUUUCCUUGCAUUGUUUCACAAGAUCAUGCCAAAUGUAGACAUGCUAUUCAACCAGCUGCAGAAGAGGAACAUCGACCCUGUCUACAUUAAAGCAGCUGUCCAGGGAUUCACAAACAACAUGCAAGCAAUCAGGGACUCAAUCCCCUUUCUCUGUGGGGACAGUGCAUCAUCUGACCAGCAGCACCAGCCCAAAAAGCGACAGAGGACACUGGGACCAGGAGAACAACAGAGGCUAGCUACAGAGGUAUGUGAUACCAUCCUGAUUCAUACCAAGGAGCGGUUCUCCUUUACCCAGCACCUCGUCAGUGCAACAUUGCUGCAUGGAGAAUUGUUUCCACAACACAGUGUGACGUUUCCUGAAUCAGCACUUGAAACAACAGUGGAGGCAUACCCCAUGCUGAACAAGGCCAAGCUCAAAACAGAACUGUCCCUCAUCUAUGAGAACCCUGAGUUUAGGGUUGGCAGUGGUGCCGUGCCUCUGUACCAGUUUUUCAUUGAGAACAAUCUUCAAAGUACUUUCACAGAGACUGUCAGUCUUCUCAAGAUCAUAAUCACCACGCCUAUGACAACAGCAGAGUCAGAGAGGUGCUUUUCUACUUUAAGGGGAUCAAGACUUUCCUAAGAAAUACAAUGACCCAGGAUCGCCUUAAUGCUUUGGCAAUGCUUUCGAUUGAGAAGAAACUCGUCAGAGACAUUCCUGACUUCAAUAAGAAAGUCAUUGAGAAAUUUGUCAAUCAGAAGGAGAGGAGAGCAAAAUUCCUGUACAAAUAAGUAAAUGCAGGUUUUUUCACCACAUUGAUUUUCUUGUACAUGGUUAUCCUCAGAGUCAUGGAAGUAUCCAGAAUUUAACUGCGACUUGUAAAUUAACUGUUCUGAGAUGCUUUAACUAAUAAACAUGUGACCAGAUGUUCUUAAACUGUGUCU